AACGAACGCUGGCGGCAGGCCUAACACAUGCAAGUCGAGCGAGGACUUCGGUUCUAGCGGCGGACGGGUGAGUAACGCGUGGGAAUGUGCCCUUCUCUACGGAAUAGCCCUGGGAAACUGGGAGUAAUACAGUAUACGCCCUUUUGGGGAAAGAUUUAUCGGAGAAGGAUCAGCCCGCGUUGGAUUAGGUAGUUGGUGGGGUAAUGGCCUACCAAGCCGACGAUCCAUAGCUGGUUUGAGAGGAUGAUCAGCCACACUGGGACUGAGACACGGCCCAGACUCCUACGGGAGGCAGCAGUGGGGAAUCUUAGACAAUGGGGGCAACCCUGAUCUAGCCAUGCCGCGUGAGUGAUGAAGGCCUUAGGGUUGUAAAGCUCUUUCAGCUGGGAAGAUAAUGACGGUACCAGCAGAAGAAGCCCCGGCUAACUCCGUG
rnacentral:rRNA from 1 species